rnacentral:rRNA from 1 species
GGGUUAGUAGGUUGGUCAUGCCUCCGGUAUGUACUGGUCUCACUGAUUCCUCCUUCCUGAUGAGCCGUAAUGUCAUUAAUUUGGUGUUGCGGGGAAUUUGGACCGUUACUCUGAAAAAAUUAGAGUGUUUAAAGCAGGCUAACGCUUGAAUACAUUAGCAUGGAAUAAUGAAAUAGGACGUUCGAUCCUAUUUUGUUGGUUUCUAGGACCGAAGUA